AGAGUUUGAUCAUGGCUCAGAUUGAACGCUGGCGGCAGGCCUAACACAUGCAAGUCGAGCGGUAACACAGGGAGCUUGCUCCUGGGUGACGAGCGGCGGACGGGUGAGUAAUGUCUGGGAAACUGCCUGAUGGAGGGGGAUAACUACUGGAAACGGUAGCUAAUACCGCAUAAUGUCGCAAGACCAAAGAGGGGGACCUUCGGGCCUCUUGCCAUCAGAUGUGCCCAGAUGGGAUUAGCUAGUAGGUGAGGUAACGGCUCACCUAGGCGACGAUCCCUAGCUGGUCUGAGAGGAUGACCAGCCACACUGGAACUGAGACACGGUCCAGACUCCUACGGGAGGCAGCAGUGGGGAAUAUUGCACAAUGGGGGAAACCCUGAUGCAGCCAUGCCGCGUGUGUGAAGAAGGCCUUCGGGUUGUAAAGUACUUUCAGCGAGGAGGAAGGCAUUAAGGUUAAUAACCUUGGUGAUUGACGUUACUCGCAGAAGAAGCACCGGCUAACUCCGUGCCAGCAGCCGCGGUAAUAC
rnacentral:rRNA from 1 species